rnacentral:rRNA from 1 species
CUAUGCAGUCGAGCGGGGGAGAUUGCUUCGGUAAUUGACCUAGCGGCGGACGGGUGAGUAAUACUUAGGAAUCUGCCUAUUAAUGGGGGACAACAUCUCGAAAGGGAUGCUAAUACCGCAUACGCCCUACGGGGGAAAGCAGGGGAUCACUUGUGACCUUGCGUUAAUAGAUGAGCCUAAGUCGGAUUAGCUAGUUGGUGGGGUAAAGGCCUACCAAGGCGACGAUCUGUAGCGGGUCUGAGAGGAUGAUCCGCCACACUGGGACUGAGACACGGCCCAGACUCCUACGGGAGGCAGCAGUGGGGAAUAUUGGACAAUGGGGGGAACCCUGAUCCAGCCAUGCCGCGUGUGUGAAGAAGGCCUUAUGGUUGUAAAGCACUUUAAGCGAGGAGGAGGCUCCUGUAGUUAAUACCUACAGUGAGUGGACGUUACUCGCAGAAUAAGCACCGGCUAACUCUGUGCCAGCAGCCGCGGUAAUACAGAGGGUGCGAGCGUUAAUCGGAUUUACUGGGCGUAAAGCGUGCGUAGGCGGCUUUUUAAGUCGGAUGUGAAAUCCCCGAGCUUAACUUGGGAAUUGCAUUCGAUACUGGGAAGCUAGAGUAUGGGAGAGGAUGGUAGAAUUCCAGGUGUAGCGGUGAAAUGCGUAGAGAUCUGGAGGAAUACCGAUGGCGAAGGCAGCCAUCUGGCCUAAUACUGACGCUGANGUACGAAAGCAUGGGGAGCAAACAGGAUUAGAUACCCUGGUAGUCCAUGCCGUAAACGAUGUCUACUAGCCGUUGGGGCCUUUGAGGCUUUAGUGGCGCAGCUAACGCGAUAAGUAGACCCGCCUGGGGAGACGGUCGCAAGACUAAAACUCAAAUGAAUUGACGGGGGGCCCGCACAAAGCGGUGGAGCAUGUGGUUUUAUUCGAUGCAACGCGAAAGAACCUUACCUGGUCUUGACUAGUAAAUUCAGAUGGAUGGUGCUCGGAUAUACAGGNGCUGCAUGGGUCNUCAGCUCGCUGAUGGGUAUCCACGCACCCCUUUUUCU